rnacentral:rRNA from 1 species
ACGGCUCAGUAACACGUGGAUAACCUGCCCUUGGGUCCGGCAUAACCCCGGGAAACUGGGGAUAAUUCCGGAUAACGCAUAUGUGCUGGAAUGCUUUAUGUGUAAAAUGGAUUCGUCUGCCCAAGGAUGGGUCUGCGGCCUAUCAGGUAGUAGUGGGUGUAAUGUACCUACUAGCCGACAACGGGUACGGGUUGUGAGAGCAAGAGCCCGGAGAUGGAUUCUGAGACAUGAAUCCAGGCCCUACGGGGCGCAGCAGGCGCGAAAACUUUACAAUGCGGGAAACCGUGAUAAGGGGACACCGAGUGCCAGCAUCAUAUGCUGGCUGUCCGGGUGCGUAAAAUACACCUGUUAGCAAGGGCCGGGCAAGACCGGUGCCAGCCGCCGCGGUAACACCGGCGGCCCGAGUGGUGAUCGUGAUUAUUGGGUCUAAAGGGUCCGUAGCCGGUUUGGUCAGUCCUCCGGGAAAUCUGAUAGCUCAACUAUUAGGCUUUCGGGGGAUACUGCCAGACUUGGAACCGGGAGAGGUAAGAGGUACUACAGGGGUAGGAGUGAAAUCUUGUAAUCCCUGUGGGACCACCUGUGGCGAAGGCGUCUUACCAGAACGGGUUCGACGGUGAGGGACGAAAGCUGGGGGCACGAACCGGAUUAGAUACCCGGGUAGUCCCAGCCGUAAACGAUGCUCGCUAGGUGUCAGGCAUGGCGCGACCGUGUCUGGUGCCGCAGGGAAGCCGUGAAGCGAGCCACCUGGGAAGUACGGCCGCAAGGCUGAAACUUAAAGGAAUUGGCGGGGGAGCACAAU